GAUGAACGCUGGCGGCGUGCCUAAUACAUGCAAGUCGAGCGAACAGACGCGGACCUUGCUCGUCUGACGUUAGCGGCGGACGGGUGAGUAACACGUGGAUACCCUACCUAUAAGACUGGGGUCACUACGGGAACCAGGAGCUCAUACCGGAUAAUAUUUUGAACCGCAGGGUUCAAUAGUUAACGACGGUUUUGCUGUCACUUAUAGAUGGAUCAGCGCCGGAUUAGCUAGUUGGUAGGGUAACAGCUUACCAAGGCAACGAUGCGUAGCUGAUCUGAGAGGGUGAUCGGCCACACUGGAACUGAGACACGGUCCAGACUCCUACGGGAGGCAGCAGUAGGGAAUCUUGCGCAAUGGGCGAAAGCCUGACGCAGCAACGCCGCGUGAGUGAUGAAGGUCUUCGGAUCGUAAAACUCUGUUAUUAGGGAAGAACAAAUUUGUAAUUAAACAUGCAGGUCUUGACGGUACCGAAUCAGAAAGCAACGGCUAACUACGUG
rnacentral:rRNA from 1 species